AGGUGCGAUCAUACUAGCACUAAUGCACCGGAUCCCAUCAGAACUCCGCAGAUAAGCGUGCUUUGGCGAGAGUAGUACUAGGAUGGGUGACCUCCUGGGAAGUCCUCGUGUUGCACCUC
rnacentral:rRNA from 2 species